rnacentral:rRNA from 1 species
UACGAAGGGUGCAAGCGUUACUCGGAAUUACUGGGCGUAAAGCGUGCGUAGGUGGUUUGUUAAGUCUGAUGUGAAAGCCCCGGGCUCAACCUGGGAACUGCAUCCAAAACUGGCAAGCUAGAGUACGGUAGAGGGUGGUGGAAUUUCCUGUGUAGCGGUGAAAUGCGUAGAUAUAGGAAGGAACACCAGUGGCGAAGGCGACCACCUGGACUGAUACUGACACUGAGGUGCGAAAGCGUGGGGAGCAAACAGG